rnacentral:rRNA from 1 species
AAAGCGUGCGCAGGCGGUUUUGUAAGACUGUCGUGAAAUCCCCGGGCUCAACCUGGGAAUGGCGAUGGUGACUGCAAGGCUAGAGUUUGGCAGAGGGGGGGUAGAAUUCCACGUGUAGCAGUGAAAUGCGUAGAUAUGUGGAGGAACACCGAUGGCGAAGGCAGCCCCCUGGGUCAAAACUGACGCUCAUGCACGAAAGCGUGGGGAGCAAACAGGAUUAGAUACCCAGU